rnacentral:rRNA from 1 species
GAUGAACGCUGGCGGCGUGCUUAACACAUGCAAGUCGAACGAUUAAAGCCCCUUCGGGGGUGUAUAGAGUGGCGAACGGGUGAGUAACACGUGGGCAAUCUGCCCCUCACUUCGGGAUAACUCAGGGAAACCUGAGCUAAUACCGGAUACUCCGGGAUGGUCGCAUGGCUGACCCGGGAAAGUUCCGGCGGUGAGGGAUGAGCCCGCGGCCCAUUAGCUUGUUGGUGAGGUAACGGCCCACCAAGGCGACGAUGGGUAGCCGGGCUGAGAGGCUGAUCGGCCACACUAGGACUGAGACACGGCCCAGACUCCUACGGGGGGCAGCAGUGAGGAAUCUUCCGCAAUGGGCGCAAGCCUGACGGAGCAACGCCGCGUGGAGGAUGACGGCCUUCGGGUUGUAAACUCCUUUUCUGUGGGACGAGUUUUGGACGGUACCACAGGAAGAAGUCUCGGCUAACUACGUGCCAGCAGCCGCCGUAACAC